rnacentral:misc_RNA from 1 species
GAUGAAGAACGUAGCUAAAUGCGAUAAGUAAUGUGAAUUGCAGAAUUCAGUGAAUCAUCGAAUCUUUGAACGCACAUUGCGCCCGCCAGUAUUCUGGCGGGCAUGCCUGUUCGAGCGUCAUUUCAACCCUCAGGCCCCCAGUGCCUGGCGUUGGGGAUCGGCGUGGGCGGCGAACGGCUCUCCGGAGCCCGAGCCAAUGCCUGCCGGCCCCGAAAUUCAGUGGCGGUCUCGCUGUAGUCCCCCUCUGCGUAGUAGCACAACUCGCAUUGGAGCUCGGCGGUGGCCAUGCCGUAAAACACCCCACUUCUGAAAGUUGACCUCGGAUCAGGUAGGAAUACCCGCUGAACUUAAGCAUAUCAAUAAGCGGAGGA